ACCUGGGAAGCACGCAGGACGGACGGACGGGAUGAGUAAAGCUCAGGACCUCCGAGACGUCUCACUUUCACCAUUCAUUCGGGGCGCUGGGAGGCGGAGGCCUCAGCAUUUCCUAACUUAUUUUUUUAUGAAGCACUCGCCUCACCCAGUAGACUGAGAGUGUGCUCCCCGUUGACCUCGGCUCAGAAAGAAGGGAAGUCCGAUGCUAAGUUCCUCUUCCUCUACCACGGGCUCCACGCACCCCAAGACCCCCCGGGAGGUCCCGAUCCUCCUUCAGAACCGGAGCACAAGGACCGUCUUUCAUGCUCUUUUCUUGGUAGAACCUGACCUGUUGCAGAGCCAAGCACCCCGCCUCUGUCUUGGGCACGCGACAGUCAGCCCUCGGGAACUUAGGUCCAGCCCAGUAAUGGACUUGUUGGCAUCCCCUCAUCUCCCAGUUAUGAAUUCCUUGGGUCCCGUGUGUCUCUACGUUCCAGUUGGUAGCACCGAACGAGUCUGCUGAAUGGAUUUUCCCUUAGUUUGAAUCCCUGCCUGGUUUGGCCAUAAGAAAACAAAUACCAUUCACGGGGUGUGUGACAUAGACGCUGGUGCUCCCCAAUUAUUCCAUGAGAUCCUGCAUAUUUUCCAGCCUUCCUGGCACUUAGCAUGGGGCCAGGUGACGAAUUCAAGUUCACGGGCACAAGGGGGAGUGAAGCAAUGCACAGCAUUUGCCACCCGAGGACACCGAGGAGGUUGAAAGCUGCACGCAUCUGCCGCGGUGGCUGGAAGCGAAGAACACUGAGACGGCGAAGGGGCCACAGAGAGCAUCUCUAAUGCGCACCACUGCUGAAAGGCGGCCACCAGAGAGGACGGGCUGAGCUGUAUCGGACUGCUCCGAAAGUGACAAAUAAGCCUCUGGCUUUGGAGGUUUGCUGCCACAGCAAAACUUAGCUUUGCCCUGACCAACCACGGGUGAGUUUCACAAGCUGAAAGUGUAAGGAGGAGACAAGCUUGUGGAAUAUGACAGCAUCACUGGCUAGCAACAUCUUCUGAUAUCCUGGAAUUAGUCGGGAUGGGCCAUGGAUCUGGAUCUGAAACUUUUAAAUCGAAAUGGGGACAAGAGCAUCCCUAUGACGUCAUUGGAGAAUCUGAGGCAUAGAGAAGCGAAGGGAUGGGCUUCUCGGAUUAGGAGUGAGCGAAGCAUGAGAAGAGAGACCUCAAUUUCCCCUGGGCUGUUUCCCACCCUUCCUAGUUGGGAUUUCUCCUCCCCCAGCAUUUGUGCCCUUUGGGUUAGUAUUCUAGGCAUGAGACUGACCUAUUUCGAAGUGGGACAGGUUGGCAUCUCUAAAGCGGGUUCCACAGAAGACUCUGUUUUGAAGCAACAUGGUGGUAAAGAGGUUAACACUGAAUGGGAGUUUUACUUCCAGGCAGGGAUCUCGAGCCCUGGCGGAAAGACUGCAGCUGCCCUGUGGCCCAGAUAAUGCAACAUCGGGCUGAGCAAGGACAUCUGAGAACAUUCUGUUCUCCUCCCCCGAGACCAAUUAAAAUCUGGAGGCAUCUUUCUUGUUGAUCGAGCUGACUAACUAAUUGAAACGGAAUUGUGAUAUUUUCAUCAGCUUUCUCUUAUCCCUCUUGGCCUUGCCAGCAGAGAGCAAGCUGAAUGAUCAGAGAGUUUCAAGCAUGUGAGGCCCAGGGAACGGAACCCCUCCCACCGUAAACCACUACAUUACCACGGAACAAGGUUCGAAAAAGGAUGAUGCGGGGUUGGGAGUAGGGCGAUACGCUCAAAUCUCAGUCUCAGUUCAUCCAGAUACCAAAGAUACCAUCUUCGGGAUUCCUGAUGAACCAUAACGCUGUCCUUCAGCAGUUGCUGCUCCAAUAAACCAGCUUCUGACCUCUGCCUUCCUAACGAACAUCCCUCUGCCUGACUGGGGAAGCUCCUAGAAACAAAGAACCAAACGCCUCUGAGGCCCAACAAGAUCCCUUUCCUUCCAUUGAGCUAGAAUGUAUUUCCUCGGCACGUGCAAAUGGCCUAGUGGUUAAUCUUAGCAAUUGUCCCAAAGGACAUCCAAGCCUCUGAGAGUGGGUUACACGAUUGAGAUUGCAGGACCUUUUUCUGCUUCAGCAUGAAGACCUGCAUGUUAGCAUUUGUGAGGAGAGCUCAAAAUGGGGGGAAGUCCUCUUGGCUCCUGAUCUAAGGAAGAGCUGCGUUUUGAAGCGUUGGUAGAAUUGCUCACGUGUCCAGUGUGAGGUGGCCUUGGCUGACAAGCUAUCAAAAUAAAUAAAUAACAAGAAAAU
rnacentral:lncRNA from 1 species